rnacentral:lncRNA from 1 species
GUGAGCAGCUAUGGCUCACUUGGGCAGGAGGCACCUUUAAGUGCAGGUAUUUCACACGGUGACAAGUCACGCAUCACCCCUUUUUGCAGCUCAUCAUCGCUGCCCAGGGAGCACACUCUACGCCAGGCCCUGUGUCAGGGUCAAGCCUGCCAUCUCUCCUGCCUUCUUGCUCAGACCAUAGAGAGAAGGGGCCCCUGGAAGGUCACAGGACAGCGAGGCCGCCACACUGCCAGGGGAGAGGGGGCACAACAGGGAACCUGCACAGCUGAGUGCUGGGGUGCGGCUCUCCGGGCCGGCAGGAAGGGACCAGGCAGGGCCCUGUCCCAGCAUUUGGGGCUUUGGGGCAGAACUGAGACCCAGGCGAACAAGCAGUUUGUGGUUCUGCAGCUGAGAAACAAAGCCGACGCCACGCAGAUUUGUAGCUGUCGGUGCUAUUUGUAGUUGACGAAACAAGAAAUAAAAGCAUAAAGAUACCCCUCA